rnacentral:misc_RNA from 1 species
GGCACAGUUGGCUGCCAACUACCUGGAAACAAAGAGAAUAAAAUAUAAGCUCAACUAUUCAUAUAUAAAUGGAAAAACAUAGUUAUUAUCAGUAACAGAAACAAAACCUUGGUCUCUUAAACAAAAAAGAGAUGACAAGCAAUAGACAAGGACGAGAAGAAUCCACCACUAGCAUAAACUAAACAAAUGUCACGCAUGUAAUGCCUAGUAUAACCCAAAAAAGAACUAUUUCUAAAGCUUCAACAUUCAUUCUUUCUUCAUGUAUUCCAUUUUAAAGGCUUUUUUUUUUUUACCUUCUGUGUUUCCAUACUGACCGGACGUUGAGAACCACAAGUAUGUGUCUAAAUUUAAUUCACCACUUUAAGUAACCAGUCCAAAAGGAACAUUUAACUCUACAUUCCCAAUACUGUCCAUUAAUUUCAAUAAUGCUGGUGAAAUUGGUCCAAGAAAGUUUCAUUAAAAAAUGAAAUUUU